rnacentral:lncRNA from 1 species
AGGGCGCGCGAGGCGCCGCACGGGGGAGGCUUCUCCGAAAGCCGCGAGGGCAGCUCCCGUGUGUCCGCUGUGCAAACCGGUCCUUCCGCCAAAAACCUGCUGUCUGGCUUUUCUCAGGCCUCCCUGGAUGGAUGUUGGGAGAGUUUACGCGUGGCCUUGUGGGAUCGCUGUGGCGGACUCUCAGCUAUCAGAGGGCUCCAUCACUCCAUCGUAAGGAGGCAGCUGGUGGCGAGUCCUGAGCAGGGAUGUGAUCCGACGGGCAGGCGGCGCCCGGGACAGAAGCUGACGUCACACAGGUGCAUUUCACGCUGGGAGCAAGUCAGGAAAGGUGAUGCCUCUCACCGCCAAGAAGGCUCCCAGCAGAGACCAGAGCCACCGGCACAGAUCCCCAACCCCUGAAACCACCUCCCUCUGGAGGACCAGGACGCCCUCCUAGUUGGUAGAAGCACAGUAAGCUCUCUGUCCUUAUGAUCUGCCUGCUUGUCCAGAGCUCUCUGCCAGAAGCCGUGGACACUGGGGCAGGCGGGAGGAGAGAGCACCACAGCCCAGACCCCUGACCGGCCUCUCCCAACCUCCCCCUCCCAAAGGCUAUGGAGAGCCCAGGGCUGGACAGGCCUGAGGUUCCGACAUACCUCAUGCCAGGCCACACGCGCACCGUGUCCCACCCUCAGCCGAAAACCAAGAUCAAGACCAUCCAAUAAUUUA